rnacentral:rRNA from 1 species
AACAGGAUUAGAUACCCUGGUAGUCCACGCUGUAAACGGUGGGUACUAGGUGUGGGGUCCAUUCCACGGGUUCCGUGCCGUAGCUAACGCUUUAAGUACCCCGCCUGGGGAGUACGGCCGCAAGGCUAAAACUCAAAGGAAUUGACGGGGCCCCGCACAAGCGGCGGAGCAUGCGGAUUAAUUCGAUGCAACGCGUAGAACCUUACCUGGGUUUGACAUGGAUCGGGAGCGCUCAGAGAUGGGUGUGCCUCUUUUGGGGUCGGUUCACAGGUGGUGCAUGGCUGUCGUCAGCUCGUGUCGUGAGAUGUUGGGUUAAGUCCCGCAACGAGCGCAACCCUUGUUCACUGUUGCCAGCACGUUAUGGUGGGGACUCAGUGGAGACCGCCGGGGUCAACUCGGAGGAAGGUGGGGAUGACGUCAAGUCAUCAUGCCCCUUAUGUCCAGGGCUUCACGCAUGCUACAAUGGCUGGUACAGAGAGUGGCGAGCCUGCGAGGGUGAGCGAAUCUCGGAAAGCCGGUCUCAGUUCGGAUUGGGGUCUGCAACUCGACCUCAUGAAGUCGGAGUCGCUAGUAAUCGCAGAUCAGCAACGCUGCGGUGAAUACGUUCCCGGGGCUUGUACACACCGCCCGUCAAGUCAUGAAAGUUGGUAACACCCGAAGCCGGUGGCCUAACCGUUGUGGGGGAGCCGUCGAAGGUGGGACUGGUGAUUAGGACUAAGUCGUAACAAGGUAACC